UCCGGUUGAUCCUGCCGGACCUUACUGCUAUCGGGAUAAGACUAAACCAUGCUAGUUGAGCGCUCUCAGGCUAUGUUGAGAGAGCAGCGAACGGCUCCGUAACACGUAGUUGAUCUAACCUCAGGAUGGACAUAACUCCGGGAAACUGGGGCUAAUAUCUAAUAGGUGGAGCUUCAUGGAAUUGUCUUCCGCUUAAAAGACGUUAGAAACAUGCCAUCUGACGUUGCCUGAGGAUGGGACUGCGUCCGAUCAGGUUGUUGGUGGGGUAAUGGCCUACCAAGCCUAUAACCGGUACGGGCCCUGAGAGGGGGAGCCCGGAGAUGGGAACUGAGAUAAGGUCCCAGGCCCUAUGGGGCGCAGCAGGUGCGAAAACUCCACAAUGCACGAAAGUGUGAUGGGGUUAUCCCGAGUGCCGUCCGAUGAGGAUGGCUUUUCUUUGGCGUAAAUAACCAGAGGAAUAAAGGGGGGGCAAGACUGGUGUCAGCCGCCGCGGUAAUACCAGCUCCCUGAGUGGUAGGGACAAUUAUUUGGCCUAAAGCGUCCGUAGCCUGUUUGGUAAGUCUUUCGUAAAAUCCAACGACUUAAUCGUUGGCAUGCGUAAGAUACUACUGGACUAGAGGACGGGAGAAGUUGACGGUAGUCCCAGGGUAGGGGUGAAAUCCAAUAAUCCUGGGAGGACCACCAGUGGCGAAGGCGGUCAACAAGAACGUGCCUGACGGUGAUGGACGAAAGCUGGGGGAGCGAACCGGAUUAGACACCCGGGUAGUCCCAGCUGUAAACGAUGCGGGCUAGGUGUUAGGGCAGCUACGUGCUGCUCUAGUGCCGCAGAGAAGUCGUUAAGCCCGCCGCCUGGGAAGUACGAUCGCAAGGUUGAAACUUAAAGGAAUUGGCGGGGGAGCACCACAAGGGGUGAAGCCUGCGGUUCAAUUGGAGUCAACGCCGGGAAACUUACCAGGGCUGACAGCAGAGUGAAGGCCAGACUAAAGAUCUUGCCAGACAAGCUGAGAGGAGGUGCAUGGCCGUCGCCAGUUCGUGCCGUGAGGUGUCCUGUUAAGUCAGGCAACGAACGAGACCCCCACCAUUAGUUACCAUCGGAUUCCGACGGAAUGCCGGGCACACUAAUGGAACUGCCGUCGAUAAGACGGAGGAAGGAGGGGGCUACGGCAGGUCAGUAUGCCCCGGGUGCCCUGGGCCACACGCGGGCUGCAAUGGUAGGGACAGAGGGUUCCGACCCUGAAAGGGGAAGGUAAUCCCUAAAUCCUAUCUCAGUUGGGAUUGAGGGCUGAAACUCGCUCUCAUGAACAUGGAAUCCCUAGUAAUCGCAUGUCAUCAUCGUGCGGUGAAUACGUCCCCGCUCCUUGCACACACCGCCCGUCGCUCCAUCCAAGUCGGGUCUGGAUGAGGCCUAGUCUUAAUGGCUAUGUCGAAUCUGAGCUCGGUGAGGGGGGAGAAGUCGUAACAAGGUG
rnacentral:rRNA from 1 species